GUGACAGGUGGUGCAUGGUUGUCGUCAGCUCGUGUCGUGAGAUGUUGGGUUAAGUCCCGCAACGAGCGCAACCCUUGAUCUUAGUUGCCAGCAUUCAGUUGGGCACUCUAAGGUGACUGCCGGUGACAAACCGGAGGAAGGUGGGGAUGACGUCAAAUCAUCAUGCCCCUUAUGACCUGGGCUACACACGUGCUACAAUGGAUGGUACAAAGGGCUGCAAGACCGCGAGGUUUAGCCAAUCCCAUAAAACCAUUCUCAGUUCGGAUUGUAGGCUGCAACUCGCCUACAUGAAGCCGGAAUCGCUAGUAAUCGCGGAUCAGCAUGCCGCGGUGAAUACGUUCCCGGGCCUUGUACACACCGCCCGUCACACCACGAGAGUUUGUAACACCCGAAGUCGGUG
rnacentral:rRNA from 2 species